rnacentral:rRNA from 1 species
GUGGGGAAUAUUGGGCAAUGGGCGCAAGCCUGACCCAGCAACGCCGCGUGAGGGAAGAAGGUUUUCGGAUUGUAAACCUCUGUCGCAGAUGACGAAGGAAGUGACGGUAAUCUGUGAGGAAGCCCCGGCUAACUACGUGCCAGCAGCCGCGGUAAUACGUAGGGGGCGAGCGUUGUCCGGAAUUACUGGGCGUAAAGGGAGCGUAGGUGGUCGAUUAAGUUGGAUGUGAAAUACCCGGGCUUAACUUGGGGGGUGCAUCCAAUACUGGUUGACUAGAGUACAGGAGAGGAAAGCGGAAUUCCUAGUGUAGCGGUGAAAUGCAUAGAUAUUAGGAGGAACAUCGGUGGCGAAGGCGGCUUUCUGGACUGACACUGACGCUGAGGCUCGAAAGCGUGGGGAGCAAACAGGAUUAGAAACCCCUGUAGUCC